rnacentral:lncRNA from 1 species
UCUAGCUGUUGUCCUUGGAUCCUGAGAGGUAACAACUAAACACUUGAACUUUAAAAGAGAUGCAGCCAGCUGUGUCUUGGUUGAGCAAACUCUGCUCAUCCGGUGGUCUUCAAUUCUCAGCAAUCCAAUGAGCAUCUAUACUCUGCUGUUCUCCAGUAUACCAAUUCCUGGAUUUAAAAUGAUGGCCUUCUAUAUCUCUGAGCUGACCUAUUGCCUGGCUAUCACCCAUGUAAACUGUACAUAAAAAGAGUGGAGAAAUCUUAUUUCACAAUGGGAAAAUUAUAAUCAAAGA